rnacentral:misc_RNA from 1 species
GUAUUUUGUUAUUAUUUAUCACAUUCAAGACUUCAAGUUUGGGCCGAAGCCACGGUUCACAGUGUUAUUAUGUAUAAGGCCAAAAGGCCGAAUUCAAUAAUGAUCCUUCCGCAGGUUCACCUACGGAAA